rnacentral:rRNA from 1 species
CGCGGCCUAUCAGCUUGUUGGUGGGGUAAUGGCCUACCAAGGCGACGACGGGUAGCCGACCUGAGAGGGUGACCGGCCACACUGGGACUGAGACACGGCCCAGACUCCUACGGGAGGCAGCAGUGGGGAAUAUUGCACAAUGGGCGAAAGCCUGAUGCAGCGACGCCGCGUGAGGGAUGACGGCCUUCGGGUUGUAAACCUCUUUCAGCAGGGACGAAGCGCAAGUGACGGUACCUGCAGAAGAAGCACCGGCUAACUACGUGCCAGCAGCCGCGGUAAUACGUAGGGUGCAAGCGUUGUCCGGAAUUACUGGGCGUAAAGAGUUCGUAGGCGGUUUGUCGCGUCGUUUGUGAAAACCAGCAGCUCAACUGCUGGCUUGCAGGCGAUACGGGCAGACUUGAGUACUGCAGGGGAGACUGGAAUUCCUGGUGUAGUGGUGAAAUGCGCAGAUAUCAGGAGGAACACCGGUGGCGAAGGCGGGUCUCUGGGCAGUAACUGACGCUGAGGAACGAAAGCGUGGGUAGCGAACAGGAUUAGAUACCCUGGUAGUCCACGCCGUAAACGGUGGGCGCUAGGUGUGGGUUCCUUCCACGGAAUCCGUGCCGUAGCUAACGCAUUAAGCGCCCCGCCUGGGGAGUACGG